AUGUCUUGUUUUUUAUUUUUUUUUAUAUUUUUUAGAGGUGUAUCUGACUCACUAAAACAUCUGAUAUGGAUUAGAUCCAACGACGUUAACUAUUUUGUCAUAAACUUUCCCAAUUUUUAUGAAACGACAAUAUACAACACGUUUGGCUAUAAAGUUCCAACUAACUUAUCUAACGACUGUCCCACUUUUUGUGGUGGUAUAUUAGGGCUACAAGAAGAUAUUAUGUGUGUGCAGACAAAAAUAGAAGAAAUAGAAAUAGAGAAUCAUGUCGAUUGUGAUAAUUUUAAUAUCAAUGACUCAACAAGUAAUAUAUUAAAAUUAUUAUUUAACAAUCCCAAUGAUAAUGAAAAAGAAAAAAAUACAUAUUUACUACCUGAACAUAAUUUUUGGGUUGAAUUCAAAACACUGAGCUCACCCAAUUUUGGUUUAACAAAUAAUAAUAAAAAAAAAGAGAAAAAAAAAAAAUUUUCUUACAUAGCUAAUGUAAAAAAUAAAUUAUUAAAAAAUAAAAAAAUUGAUAAAUAUUUUAGAAUAUCAUCUGAUUCGAUUUUACCCCAUUCUAAAAAUUUUGUUAAUAAUAAUAAUAAUAAUAAUAAUAAUAAUAAUAAUAAUAAUAAGAAACCGAAAGAAAACACGCAUGAUGGCCACGUUAAAAAUUGUAUAACAAACGGUGAUUUAAAUAAAAAUGAAUCUAAUGUAAACAAAAGUGGUGUCGCCCCUAGUAGCAAUAAUAAUGAAUCUAUAAAUAAAUCUAAUAAGAACAAUGAUAUUUAUUAUAAUACAAACAACAUUAAUGAUAAUAAUUUAUGUUCACAGUACAAUAACAAACAUAUGUUGAAUAUAGAUGCGAAAAAUAUUAAGCAGUCAAGUAUUGAUGAAAGUGAUAAGCAUAUUGUUAUUAAAGAUGAUAUUAUUAUUUUUAAAAACUCGGAUGAUGAUGAAGAGGAAGAGGACGAAUAUAAUAAUAAUGAUACUAUUUCUAAUACCAUUAAUUAUAAUACAUAUGAUGCUGAUAAUAAUGUAAAUAAAAACAAAUGGAGUGCGUAUGAUAUUCGUGGUUCUACUUUUAACAAUGGUGUUAAUAAUAAAACUUUUUCUGGUAGUAUAAAUAACAAUGAUAAAUCUUCUGUGAACUCUUCUAUAUAUAGUUCAAAUAAUUAUUUAAAUAUACAAAGUUACAUGACCGAGCAAUAUAUUAUUAAUAAAAAACAAGCUGAAAAAAUGAGUAAUGCAAAAUUAUAUUUAAGAAAUAAUAGAAAAAAAAGAACGGAAAGUGAGCAUAUAAAUAGUCAUUACAAUGGAAGUUUAAAUACAAAUAUAAAAAAUGGUAAACUUGAUAAAAAAGUGAGUUUAUAUCCGUCUACAAAUUGUAGUAAUAUAUAUAAGCACAGUGCGACCUCUGUUACUACUAAUGACUAUCAUAAUAAUAAUGAUAAUAACAAGUAUGAUAGUGAUAGUAAAGAUGAUAACAUUAAUAAUGUUGGUUCUAACAGGAAUCGAACAAAAAACUUUUUUAAAAAAACAUUUAAUUCUAAGAUUAAUACAAAUGAUGAUCGAAAAAAUAAAAGUAGAUUAUCUAAUCAGUUAUAUUCUUUACUCAAAAAAAAUAUAAGCAAAAAUGAUGAAAACCACACUAAUUUAUCUUGUGCUAGGAACAAGAUAAAUUUGAAUAUGUCUAAUGAUUAUAGUAACAUCAAUAACACUAGUAACAAUAUAGGGUAUAAUGGUAAUAACAAAAUUUCCCAACGUGUUAUGAGUGAUGCUACUAUACUAAAACGUAGUAAGAGUUUUAGAAAGCUUGAGCCUAUAAAUGGUAAAGAACAAAAUGUAAACAUGAAAAAUCAUCUUUUUCCUAAUAACAUUACUAACGCUUCUACGGAUGCAGCUGCUACUUCGACUGAUGCGGUAACUACACCAAAUGACUACGACGAUGACGGUGAAUAUUGUUUCGGAAGCGAUUUAUAUGUUAAUAAAGAAUGUACAAAAUAUGAUAACAAUAUUUCAGACUCACAUUUGAAUCAUACAAACAAUUGUAAGUUUAUGAAUUUUAGAGAGUCUGAUACAUAUGAUUUAAAGCUAGAUACAUCUAACACAAAUAUGGAUAAUAAAAAAUCUAUUUUUCAUAAACUAAAACAUAUGUUUUAUAAAAAGAAAAAAAAAAAAAAACAAGCAUAUAUGAUUCCCCAUUAA
rnacentral:lncRNA from 1 species